rnacentral:rRNA from 1 species
CGGAGGGUGCAAGCGUUAUCCGGAUUUACUGGGUUUAAAGGGUGUGUAGGCGGACUUUUAAGUCCGUGGUGAAAUCUCCGGGCUCAACCCGGAAACUGCCAUGGAUACUAUUGGUCUUGAAUGUUGUUGAGGUGGGCGGAACGGGUCAUGUAGCGGUGAAAUGCAUAGAUAUGACCCGGAACACCGAUUGCGAAGGCAGCCCACUAAGCAAUGAUUGACGCUGAGGCACGAAAGCGUGGGGAUCAAACAGGAUUAGAUACCCUGGUAGUCCACGCCCUAAACGAUGAUUACUCGACGUUGGCGAUACACUGAUCAGCGUCCAAGCGAAAGCAUUAAGUAAUCCACCUGGGAAGUACGUUCGCAAGAAUG